rnacentral:rRNA from 1 species
UGGGGAAUAUUGGACAAUGGGCGAAAGCCUGAUCAAGCCAUGCCGCGUGUGUGAAGAAGGUCUUCGGAUUGUAAAGCACUUUAAGUUGGGAGAAAGGGCAUUAACCUAAUACGUUGGUGUUUUGACGUUACCGACAGAAUAAGCACCGGCUAACUCUGUGC